AGAGUUUGAUCCUGGCUCAGAACGAACGCUGGCGGCAGGCUUAAUACAUGCAAGUCGAGCGAUCGUGAGCAAUCACGGGAGCGGCAGACGGGUGAGUAACGCGUGGGAACAUACCCCUCGGUUCGGAAUAGCUCAGGGAAACUUGGAUUAAUACCGAAUACGGUCGAGAGGCGAAAGAUUUAUCGCCGAGGGAUUGGCCC
rnacentral:rRNA from 1 species